UACGUAGGGUGCGAGCGUUGUCCGGAAUUACUGGGCGUAAAGAGCUCGUAGGUGGUUUGUCACGUUGUCCGUGAAAACUCACAGCUUAACUGUGGGCGUGCGGGCGAUACGGGCAGACUGGAGUACUGUAGGGGAGACUGGAAUUCCUGGUGUAGCGGUGGAAUGCGCAGAUAUCGGGAGGAACACCAGUGGCGAAGGCGGCACUCUGGGCCAGUACUGACACUGAGGAGCGAAAGCGUGGGGAGCGAACAGG
rnacentral:rRNA from 1 species